rnacentral:lncRNA from 1 species
AGACAUGUUACCUUAAUACAAGUAUUAGUAGCUACUUCCACGACUCGAAAUCGUGACCUAUCAGAGACAAUUUUAUUGUUGCUCAAGACUCCCUUCAAGUUUAAAUUGAAGGGCCACCCAAUGCACUAAGCUCCUACUAUGCGUGGGGUCUGAGGAAGGGCCGAACCACAAGAGUCUAUUGUAUGCAGCCUACCAUGCAUUUCUGCAAGAGUCUGUUUCCACGGCUCAAACCGUGACCUCCUGGUCACAUGUCAGCAACUUUACCAGAUGAGCCAAGGCCCUGUUUAAAUUGAAAACAUAAUUAAUUGAUAUUAGGUCGGACUUGUUCCAAUACGUUACUGUCGUUUUCUCAACAUGUAGUUGAAUCAGGAAGUUUCUUGCUAGUUUCAUAGAAGUGUCAAUGCUUGUUCUUGACUGUAGACAAGUUGACAACCCACAGUAGGAAGAUAUAUGCAGUACUUGUCCAGGAACUUUCUUAGAAAUAAACGCUUGUCGCAGCCAUUGCGGAAGAUUCCUACUGAGUUCAAUGGCUGACAAACUCAGGGCAUUAUUUUGUGCAGCCAUUGAACUAAUAUUCCGCAUUUAAUUCUACGGGUUAAUGGUUCUUAAGUUUGAAAUUUUAUGUUGUCCAACUUGCUGGUAUGAGAAAUUUAAUAACUUUAGUAAUUGUUGGUGUAGGUUUCUUUUGCCAUUGUAUCAUUCCAAUGAGCUUAAAGUCUACUAAAGUUCGGCAUCAUCGGAUGGAGGACAAGGUAAGUGAAGGGGACAGCAAGAAACCUCAGAGCAGCUCGAAUAGUCAGACUCCCACUUCAAAUCCAUUGCCAGUUUCUUCGCAAUCUCCUCCAAUUGCCAAAUCCACAAGUAAUAAAAGCAAAAGCUCGCUGCCUCCAUCUUCGCCAUUGAUAUCAGAUUCAACGUUGCCGUCGUCGCAAUCUCCUCCGAUUGCCAAAUCCACGAGUAAUAAAAGCACAAGACCGCAACCUCCAUCUUCGUUGAUAUCAGAAUCAAGUUCAUCAUAGAAUUCCUUGAUGCAGCAUGGCCAUGCUUUAUUUGAUUCACCAGUGAUUCUUUUGCUCGUUGCUUCAAAAUGGAGUGAUUACAACCACUCGAGAAGCUUCACAAAUUUUGUAUCCAAAAAUGCUUUCAAUUAACUGGGAUCGACCUUUCUUUGUGCAGUGAAACUGACUGUUGUUUAACAGAUAGCUAACCCAAUUUUAGAGUGAAGUGAAACUUAAUCUAAAAAUAUGCAGCAACAAAAAACUAGCAUAAUAACCUUUUAUCUACUAAUAGGCUUAUUAUGAUCAUUUUAAAGUUAGUUAAACUAUGACACUGAACAUGAAUUGAGCAGAAUAAAUAUAGAAACAUAUAGUGCCAAUCCAACUAAUAUAGAAGUAAGACAUAAUUGAUUGAUUAACUACUCGACCAUUUAUGCACUUGAUUAUCUUGGGGACAGUGCACGACACGCUUGAAAUGAAGGGUUGGAGGGAAAAAAAACAAAAGUGUUAUAGUAUGAGAUCGAAGCCUGGGAAUAUUAUGUGCUUUUCCUUUUAGAGAGCCAUUAUUUCUUUUUCAGCACCUUUGGACAAAUCAGACCACUUUUUUCUUUUGAUUUUUCCAAAUCCGUCACAUUUGUCUCCCAAACUUUAUCGUGAUGAACCAACUUUUAGUCCUAAAGGCUGAUACUAUACCUGAGAGGUGACCAUAAAUUGACCAAAAGACAACAGUAAUCACUGUAUUACAAAAUUCCAACCAAACUUUUCGUGAUGAUAUUCCAUUCAUCAUACCCUCUUAUCUUAUAUGUUGAAAUUUUCUCGCAUGGUACUAUACACAUGGGUAUCUCGCUUAGAAGUUAGGUUCAAUUGAACCCAUAACUUUCGCUCAUACUACCCCGUAGUUUUACCUAAAAAUCAUGAAAUAUGUUAAAUAAUAAAUUUUGAACCCAUUAAAUUAGAUGAGAAUUUGGUAGAAUUGCGAAUCUAACCUAUAAAAUUUAAAUUCUGGAUCCGCCGCUGGUACUAUAAGCAUGUAAUGAACAAAAAGAAAGGAAAAGAGGACAAAAGCUAUUAAUGGAAAUGAAUGAAGUCCAAGAUUAAUGACUCUGCUUCUCCUCAGAUAUUCCUAUUGAAAACGGAUAAAGAAACAUCACAAGAUCUAAAUUAUUUACAAGGAAAGGAUGCACAACACUGUAAAAGCAACAAAAGUAAAUGACUAGCACUCAAAAGGAAGAGCGUGGAGAGGGGAGUUUUCUAAUUACAAUAUACAGGCGACGAUGAACCAGAAAACCCUGCAGAGGGUGAUAAUAUAUCAACAAUGACUAGAUCAACUCAAAUUUUCAUUAAAUGUACAAGUGUAAAAAUUUGCUGUAAAGCAGAAUUGAUGAAUAGGGAGCAAUGACACUAGCACAGAAGAUGAAAAUGUAAAAAGAGAGCAUCCGCCAAAUAGCAUACACUGACCUGUCAGGGACCGGUAACUUAAAUGGGAACCCAUAGCAGGUUAACUGACUUAAAUAUGGUACCAUACCAGCUUAGCUGAACCUCAUUUUUUGACUUAAAUAUGGUAUCAUGUAUUUGCAGGAGUCUCCUGCCAGUAAAAAUAUGCUUUAUCAGUUUCAAUGAAUAAUUUCAAUUCACUUCUGCGCUAUGCAAGAAUAUGAAGAUAUUCAAACCCCCAGGUGACAAGGAAACUAUUGAUCAGCAUUGUUGAGCAACCAUACCGAUUGGGGAUCCAGCUAAACAGGCUUUGUUCCAAAUACGAUGGAAGAUGCCGCUUAUCAGUAUCCAGCCUUCUUUCUGAUGGUACAUUAACAACUUGAUAACAUUGACCUAGCAGUGCAGCUGGCUUCUAUUUCCAUUCAGUUUUUCUACCAUCCAGUAACAUGGGCUUCCCAUAUGUCAAGUCAGAAACACAAAAGAACAUUUGUACAAGGAUGUACUCUACAUUCUCAAAAUUUAUUACGUAGUUGGUAUAUACUCUUCACACAAGUUGCUCUGACACGGGUGCGGAUCAUUUGAGAUGCAAAGUUUAAGCUAGCGUUUGGACAUAGAUUGAGUUGAAACUUGAAAAAAUAAUUUUUGAAGUAGUUUUGAAAAAUAAUUUUUGGAAGUUGAAAUUAUGUUUGGACAUGCAUUUUAUUUGAAAAAAAAUUGAAGUUUUGUGAGUAGGAACUUGAUUUUCAACCAAAAUCUACCAUAAACUAGAUUUUGAAAACUUGAAAAAUAUUUUCAGAAAUUUUUCAAAAACAAAUCACUAAUCUAUGGACGAACAAUGUUUUCAAAAUUUUUUUGAAAAAAACUUGCCAAAAUGUAUGGCCAAAUGAGGGCUAACAUUCGGGAAUACAGAUCCUAGAAUCAAUACGGGUGCGAGGAUCCGACUAAAAAUAAUUCAAAAAAUAAAAAUAUCCCUAAAUUAUGAGAAAUACUUACAUAGCUUGUAAACAGUGAAUUUCUUUUUUUCCCUCAAGUUGUAGGCGUGAUUUUCUUCCAUUCUCGAAUUCUCCUACAAGUUACACAAAGUAUAUAAAACAUAAUAGAUAUCACAUAACUACAUAAGUAAAAGAGUUAGAUAUAUAAAGAUGAGGAAAAUAUACCUUUUGAGGCUUUUACUGGUUUGUCGAAGAACUUGACACGAACAUAGAGAAUAAAAGACGUAAUUAUCAUUCCUCUCCCAAGUCACAAAUUAUAAAGAGUUAGUCAUUCUCAUUAAGUCAAUCAAAUAAGUAUGAGCACCAAAAAGGCAAAAAUAAACUACAAUUGCAACCACCAUUUUCCCGAACAAAGUUACAUUAACGUUGAACUACAUAAACCAAUAAAAAGUAGGAAAAUAUAACUAUAAAGUUUUAGCAUUUGAAAAAUAACAUUUAGCAUUCUUCCUCAAUAUUUUCAAGAUCAAUUUCUUGCAUAUACUCAACCUCUUCUUCAAAGAUGACUCCUUUUAGUUGAGGUUCAUCUAUUGAUAAGUCAACUAGAUCAUCGAUGGCUUCAUCAACAUCAAAACGAACUCCACCUAAAGCAACAUUAAAAUGAUUUAAAAUAUAAAAUCAAGAGAACAUAGAUUAUAGACAUACCCACAUUCCAAUACUUGCUUGGCCACUUAUAUAUUUUUCUUUUUGACGAGAAAGCAAGUGAAGAUUGUAGUGCACAAAAAUUAGAUCUUCGGCUCUUAAAGUCUCUAACUAGUUUUUUUUGAUGAUAUGGAUCAACGAAUAGGUGAUCCAAUUCCUUUUUGCAAUAAGGAGAAGAAGUCGGUUGUAAAAGCAAUUUGUAAGACAAGCUUGGCAAAAGUGGAGCAUUUACACCAAGCCCACCAAGAUAGAGGCACCUCAUACAUCAUAGCCUCAUCCACAUGAGGUUCACUAAAAAAACACUCCCACUUGCGAAUGCUCCAUACUCCAAAGACGCAGAUCACUUGGAUCUUUGGAAGCAUUUAACCCUAUUUAAGGAAAUGUUUCUAUCCUCAUUGGGAGCAAACCUUUGAACCCCAUUGCCUUUUCUAAGCCAUGAUUCGUGGUAGUAUUUUGGUACCAAUGAAUGUGCCAUACAAUGUAAAGGAAUGCUACUCCUAGCAGCAAGAAUUUCUUGAAUUGUAUCAAGAAAGUCCGAUUGCCCGAUAAUAAGUUCAUUUCCCUCUUGCUCAAAGAUAAUUGCCUUCACCUUUUCGAUCAUUGCAUCCCGCAUAUCAUAAACAAGAUGCAACUUUGGAGCAUCAAGAUUGGCACUUCUAAGCAUAGACACAAUUGGUUCCGUAAACUUUAAAAGUACUCAAUCUUAUCCCACCAUCCGUCAUUCAUUACAAGUGAUUUUAUUUCAUUCAUUUUAGCUUCAAUCAAUUUAUCUCCCUUAUAAUUUCUCCAAUUAUCAUCCAUCACCAUUCUUUCUGAUGAUGCUUUCACUUAAUGAACACGACUAGCCAUGACAACAUGAGAUGCAAUUCUCGUUUCGGCAACUUUCAACAAAGACAACGCCAAAUGCUUUUGGAAAAGAGCAUGAGCCAUAUCAUGAUUCAACACAAAAAGUUUCAAGCUACUCACUUCACCAAUCAAAUCUAAAAUCCAUUUGUAAUUUACAAAUUGAAUUGAUUUUUCGGAAGGUUGGCACAUACUUUUUUUUAGUGCAAGGUUCAAACAAUAAAUAACAUAUGGUGUCCCAAAUAUAUGUGAAAAUGUUUGCUCAACCGUAGAACCGGCAAGCUUCAUAUUACUUGCAUUAUCGGUGAUAACUUGAACAACUUUACUUGCACCAACCUCUUCAAUUGAUUUAAUGUUGUUCAAGUAAUCGGUGCACUCUAUUUCUGGGAUAUUACAUUUGUGUGGUGGUUGUUUCAGUUGCUGCUCCCACUAAAGCUUUUACUGUCUUUUGCAUGGUUAAGUCAUUCAUUUCUUCCAGGAUUUAGUAUAAUACGUCUGCGCAAUGGUUUCAUAUGUGGGAUGUACAUGGUAAUCCUAGACUAAACAAGGCUGAAGGAAAAUAUUUGUUGCAUUGCAUAUAACCUGGAUAAAUAGUUCUAUUUAGGUAAUUGUUUAGGGCACAUUUUCAGAUUUCCCCUACUACUAAAACGAAAAAAUGAAUGGAUGAAGAAAUUCAAUCUAGAGAAUCUCUUACCUUUCCCCAAACAUGGAAAACUACGUGUAUUGCCCUUGUGCCUUGCUAUUAGCCAGUCUUGCUCUUACCUGUGUCAGCAUCUUGUACUUGAUGCUGUUGCAUUUUAGCUUGGUUUGCGUGUCUAUACAAUAAUAGCAUCAUUUGGCAUAAUGCAUUUUCAGAACCAGGUUUCCUUUUAUAGUCGCUUGAGUUAUGCUUGAGAAUUUUGUGUCCUUGCCUUUCUUGCUUGAACUACUCUUUUUUGUUACAGGAGGGCUUGCUGUUUGGCAUUUAGUUGUGGGAUAAUUACUUUAGACUUCUAAUCCAUGAGUCUCUGGUCCUAUCUUCUAUGAUGUUUGAAGCAGGACAUACAAAUUCCAGCGCAGGUGCUGCUGGUUUAUGUUUGAUGACAGAUCAUGUGAUUAGGAGAAUCUUUUUUUUUUUAAAAGGAAGGAAAAGAUCAAGUGAUGAGGAGAUAUUCUUCUGUUAUAUGAGGUGCAAAUGUAAUGCCUCCCCUUUGAGUUCUGCCGUAGUGUAAAACUAAUGAACUCUUAGCAUGUUCAUUUCUGUUUUAAGUUGAUGAUGGUAGGUUUUUUCAUCAUUUCAGCAGAUUGUCAGAGGUUUGUUACUGUUCAUUUUUUGUUGUAAGUAAUGUUCUGACUAGGUUUGGCAGUUGAUCAGGAGUUAAAUUUAAUUUUGGAAAUUGUUAUGACCUUGCUUUGCUCAAAGACUUGGAAAGUGAAACAUAAGGGGUCUCUCUCAUGGCUUCUUACAAGUAAAAUAUCCUGAUAUACCCUUAACCAGUGAAAAAAUCUGAUGGUUCUCAUCUCAAGGUUUUGAAGAGGUUGGUGCAAGUAAUGUUGUUCAAGUUAUCACCGAUAAUGCAAGUAAUAUGAAGCUUGUCGUUUCACGGUUGAGCAAACUUUUUCACAUAUAUUUUGAACACCAUGUGUUGUUCAUUGUUUGAACCUUGCAUUAAAAAGUAUGUGUCAACCUUCCGAAAAAUCAACUCAAUUUGUAAAUUACAAAUGGAUUUUGGAUUUGAUUGGUGAAGCUAGUAGCUUGAAAUUUUUUGUGUUGAAUCAUGAUAUAACUCAUGCUCUUUUUCAAAAGCAUUCGGCGUUGUCUUUGUUGAAAGUUGCCGAAACGAGAUUUGCAUCUCAUGUUGUCAUGACUAGUCAUAUUCAUCAAGUGAAAGUAUCAUUGAAAAGAAUGAUGAUCGACGAUGAUUGGAGAAAUUAUAAGGGAGGUAAAGCGACUGAAGCUAAAACGCGUGAAAUAAAAUUCCUUGAAAUGAAUGACAGAUGGUGGGAUAGGAUUGGGUACUUUUUAAAGUUUACGGAAUCAAUUGUGUCUAUGCUUAGAGGUGCCGAUCUUGAUGCUCCAAAGUUGCAUCUUGUCUAUGAUAUGUGGGAUACAAUGAUCGAAAAUGUGAAGGCAAUAAUCUUUGAGAAAGAGGGAAAGGAUAUUAUUAUCGGGCAAUCGUACUUUUUUGAUACAAUUCAAGAAAUUCUUGCUACUAGGUAGAAUAAGAGUAACACUCAUUUAUAUUAUAUAACACAUUCAUUGGUACCAAAAUACUACGACGAGUCAUGACUUAAAAAAGGCCAUGAGGUUCGAAGGCUUGCUCCUAACGAGGAUAGAGAGAUUUCCUAAAAUAGGGUUAAAUGCUUCCAAAAAUACUUUAAAUAUUCAAAUGAUCUAAAACAAGCGUCUUUGGAGUAUGGAGCAUUCGCAAGUGAGAGUGGUUUUAUUAGUGAUUCUCAUGUGGUUGAGGCUAUGAUGUAUGAGAAGCUUGUAUCUUGGUGGGCAAACCAUGGUGUAAAUGCUCCGUUUUUGCAAAGCUUGGCUUACAAAUUGCUUUCACAAUUGGUUUCUUAUUGUUGCUAAAGGAAUUGGAGCCCUAUUCGUUGAUCCAUAACAUCAAAAGAAAUAAGUACGAGACUUCAAGAGCCGAAGAUCUAGCUUUUGUGCACUACAAUCUUCGCUUGCUUUCUCGUCAAACAGAAAAAUAUACAAGUGGCCCAAGCACGUAUUGGGAUGUGAGUAUGUCUAUAAUCUAUGUUUUCUUGAUUUUAUAUUUCUUUUAUUUUUAAAUCAUUUUUAUUUUAAUUUUGCUUUAGGUGGAGAUCGUUUUGAUGUUGAUGAAGCCACCAGUGAUCUAGUUGACUUAUCAAUAGAUGAACCUCAACUAGAAGGAGUAAUCUUUGAAGAAGAGGUUGAAGACGUGUAAGAAAUUGAUCUUGAAAAUAUUGAGGAAGAAUGCUAAAUAUUAUUGUUCAAAUGCUAAAAUUUAAUAGUUAUACCUUCCUACUUUUUAUUAGUUUAUAUAAUUCAAUGUUAAUAUAAUUUUGCAUGGAGAAUGGUGAUUGCAAUUGUAGUUUAUUUUUGUCUUUUUGGUGUUCAUGCUUAUUUGAUUGACUUAAUGAGAAUGACUAACUCUUUAUAAUUUGUGACUUGUGAGAGGAAUGAUAAUUACGUCUUUUAUUCUCUAUGUUCAUGUCAAGUUCUUCGACAAAACCAGGAAAAGCCUAAAAGGUAUGUUUUCUUUAUCUUUAUAUAUCUAACUCUUUUACUUAUGUAGUUAUGUGAUAUCUAUUAUAUUUUAUAUACUUUAUGUAACUUGUAGGAGAAUCCGAGAAUGGAAGGAAAUCACUCCUACAACUUGAGAAUAAAAAAGAAAUUCACACUUUACAAGCUAUAGGUAAGUAUUCCACAAAAUUUCUCAUAAUUUAGACAUAUUUUUAAAUUUUUAUUUUUUUGAGUUUUUUUUAGCUGGAUCCCCGAACCCGUGGUGGUUCUAGGAUCCGUAUCUCCGAACCUUAAAAUUUACAUCUCAGAGGAUCCGACCUCUAAAUCCGCACCCGUGUCAAAGCAACUUAGUUGGCAAAGUCCUCCAAUUGACACCAGAAUGUAUGGGAAUGCCAUUAGGGAGCCAACCAACUCUAAGUCUACCCGUGAACAAUGCUGCAUUAAUCACUAUAGUGGCUUCCACUUAUAGGUGUUUGUUGCUUGAUAUCCAGAUUCCAGCUCAAAAUCUUCAGCCUUUUCUUUUGUCUCCAGAAACACACUUUUAUUCUCUUGGUUAAUCAAAAUGGACCCAUGUGUGGCUAAGCCGAAACUACCAUGUUCAUAUCCAAUAAAAACUGAAGGAGUCUCUCUAGUUAAGGGUGGUGAGGGUGGGAAGGGUUAGCUCUCUACAUUUUAUGCUGCAAAAGUGCUCUUACGGAUUCUUUACUGAAUUGUCCUUUUCUAUCGGCAUUCCAUCAUACCUACUCCAUUCUGCCGCCAGAAACAUCAGACUCAUUUCUUUCAUCUUGGCCGGAUGCCAAGGAUGAGUUGAUAGGAAUGUUAAAAUUCAGCUGACUUGACCAAGGUGGUUUCUUAGUCAGUAUCAGAAAAGUCUCCUCCGUCCAUAUCCACAGGGUAUUCAAAUCCUAGAGACACAUCAUCUAUUGAGAUAUCAUUUGCAUCAUCUUCAUUCAAACCAAACGUGCUAAAAUGCUGAAAGAAUUUCGUUUUCUGUUUGAUGAAUCAAACAAGAUAAACCCGCUGAACUUCGCGGAGUUAGGUGGUCCAACGUAUUUCAGGCAAAAGUAGGAGCUUACGUCAAACCUUUUGGUCACGUGUUAACCGCAUGAAGGAGAUGAUUCAUUCUAUACCCUUGGCUAUAUUUGACUAAGACCCAGAGAAUAUCUCGAAGUGGAUAUACGAGCAUCAUGCCGCUUAUCUCUUUAUUCAAAGGUUUAACUUCUUCACACAUUUUUCUUGAAGACUGCUCGCUGCAUUUUUUCUAGGUUCUAGAUUCCAACAUUAAAGUUACUUCAGCUGGUUUUUUCAUCUUCAUAUACAGCCACUCAUUAAACUUAAUGAAAUCAUCUAAUAAUAUAAACCCGAUUCCCUAAUAUCAGUUUCCUCUAGACAAACCCAUAACCAAACCUCCAACAAUAGAAUCUUUAAUUCUGCUACAAUGUCUAGCCAUAAUUUGGUCGCGAGUCCUCAAAUCAACUUCCAUUCCCAAAUUGAAUCAAAAAGACUAGCUUCUUACACUUCUUAACUACUUUCUCACAAAUGCCUUGUAACCAUAUUACAGGAUAAAUUAUCAUAAGCAUAUGUUCCACUUCGGAAUUAAGGCUUGUUCAUCGUUCCAAUAUUUGCGAGUACUCUUUUUAGCCUUUUUUUGCCUGGUCAUAGACUUGUAUGUCAGUAUAGGCACAACUGCAAUAUCUAGAGAUUCCAUAGUUCUAAACAAUCUCUAAUUUGAGUUAAAAGUAAAUUAUUUACUUCGAUUGAAAUCCGACGGUACAAAACAGAAUGAAUAUAGAGGACUUUAAACUAAAAAGGUAUACUAGUACUAGUUUUUGUUGAGCCCUUAAUCUUUGAAAGCUAGCUAAAUAACCAGCAAUAAAAUCGAGUAAUAAAGCGUGACGAAUGUAAUAAUUUGUAGUUCGUUCAAUGCAUAUAGACUGGACGAAAAGAAGAAGCAAAAUCCAAAGCUUAACGAACAUUUUGCACAAUUAAACAUGAAAAUUGAGGAAGUGACUGACCUAUCGAAGAAACCAAUUGGGGCUUCUGAAUUUUCCUUCUUUUCAUGAAUCUCGCAGAGACGGAGGAGAUAAUAGUGAUACGAGGCUUCUAACACACAUUUCAUUGUAUUUUUUCGUCUUCCCGUCUCCCGCCGGGCAGUAGGGCCGGCGACGUCACAUGUAGAGUACGUGACGCCUUAUAAAAAACGAAAAAUAGAUAAUCGUGCUUAUGUGCC